AUACGUUGGGAGCGAGCGUUGUCCGGAAUUACUGGGUGUAAAGGGUGCGUAGGCGGGACUGCAAGGCAGAUGUGAAAUGCCGGGGCUCAACCCCGGAGCUGCAUUUGAAAAUGCGGUUCUUGAGUGAGGUAGAGGUAAGCGGAAUUCCUAGUGUAGCGGUGAAAUGCGUAGAUAUUAGGAGGAACAUCGGUGGCGAAGGCGGCUUACUGGGCCUUUACUGACGCUGAGGCACGAAAGCGUGGGGAGCAAACAGGAUUAGAUACCCUGGUAGUCCACGCUGUAAACGAUGAUGACUAGGUGUGGGGGGACUGAACCCUUCCGUGCCGCAGUUAACACAAUAAGUCAUCCACCUGGGGAGUACGGCCGCAAGGUUGAAACUCAAAUGAAUUGACGGGG
rnacentral:rRNA from 1 species